CCUAUAGAGCAAGCCGUCCAAAGU
rnacentral:miRNA from 1 species